GCUCAAGGAGUGAUUUAGCAGUUGCUGGGCCCUCACUCAAGUGGCUGCUGCUGGGGCUGGGCCUGCUAAGUGUUAAAUGGGAAGGGGGGGGGGCUGCUGGCCCCUUGUCCUGGUGGCAUGGGGGAGGGUGUGGAACUGCUACUGGGCUUUCUCUCUUCCAACUCCUGGGCCACUGGCUUCAUCUCUGAUGAAAAAGAGCCCUCAGAAAGAAUGAGUGUGGCUGGAUAACCCCUGACUGAAGGUACAAAGAAGCUGGGUGUGAGCGCGGAGGGCUGCACGUGGCUGAGACCUUCGCAGUGUACGUAACUAGGCCGAGCUCUGCUAUUUGAGAAGCUGUGUGCUAGGAAGCUCAGACAUCAGUCUGUGAUAUGUUGACAGUUCGCCUUGUGGAAAGGAACACGUUUGGAUGGGGCACAAACUUAGGAAGAUCCUGCCUGGGAUUAACUCUGCUGAGGCCACUGGAGUGCAGCAGGGAGCGGGCAGGUCCAGGGGUCUGUGGACACUAAUGAUGCUGCACCAGCACCUGCGGGGGAAGCUGGGAGGGCUGAGAAGGGGCAAAGCAAAAAGCUGCUCUUCAGCUUCCAAAUGAUGCUCCCAAGAGGAGAAUUGCUUCAGAAGGAGCUCCUCACAGUGCAGAGCAGCAGGAGUCUUCAUGGAAGCAGAGCAUCUGAAGUGAACCCAUACAGCAGGCUGACAAGGAUCGCCUGGGAGGGGGAUUCUCCAGCCAGGAUCUCUGACCAGAGCAAUGCCAAGUCGCCCAAUUUUAACCCAAAAGGAACAGACACUUUAGAGCAGCAAGUGCUGGUGUGUCUGGGAAGGCGGCGAGGAGGGGGCUGGCCGCAGGAGACCACCUAUCCACCCUCAAACCAAGUGGGCUGCUGCUGGGGGACAUGGCCUGGGUGGACCUCGGUGGCCAGAAAUAACUCCUGCGUCUCGAGGAGGCCACAGAUGGAUAGAAAGGAGCUGAAGCCCUUCAGGUAUGUAGGAUAUGUGAUCCACUGGGCUGACAGCACCUCCUGGGACUUGACCCCACCAGGGAGCGUCUGGACAUAUCUGUAUGGACUCCGAUGCGUUCAACACCGGGGGGUUUAGGCCAGUGGUGUUAAUGCAGUGGGGCCUCGGCUUGGUCACUGGAAGAAAGCACCAUUAAACGUCAAGUUGAAGGGAAGCGCAAUCCAUCACCUUCCUCGUGGGCUGCCACUCAGCCGAGAGUAACAGAGAUCAGCCUUCAAUCACACGGGGGCCGGAGCUGAAGGAAACCUUCUGGAGGACACAGUGGAGAAAUAUUUUCAUUAGCGGAGGAGGACCUGACAGAGAUGAAGUGUCCCUUCACCUCGCCUGCUGGACCUCUGCCCUGCCUGGCGCUAACAGGACGAGCGAACACCGACCGAGCAGCUCGUGCCAGCUGCCAAGUUUUAAGGGCUGGCUGCAUCCAGAUGUGCAAAACAGCCGUGACGUGGAGAACAGGGCUUUUAUAGCCUGGUGGAUGGCUUUGCUCUUCUCCUGCCUGUCUACAAGUGAACAGGUGCCCUAGUACAGGCCAGAAAAAGUUGUCCUUGGGCGAUAAGGUCCCGGAGUGCAGGAGGUAUGGUGGGCUCUGCCUCCUGCAGUGUGUUUGCAAAUGUAACAGGACUGCCCUUGGGGUGGGGGGUUUUCUCUGCUUCUCUCCAAGGAAAGCCGUUUCACAGCCUGCUGUUGCAGUCAUAUUCUCUUAGUCUGCGUCCCCCCAUGGCAGUCGAGGUGCCCAGGACUCACUUGUGCUCUUUGUGUCAAUUGUGCUGGGGAAAUGCACGCAGCAUGCUGGCUGGGAGCCUGGCACAGGCAGGGUCUGGUCCUCCACUCACAGUUUAAGGAUGCCUCACCAGGUCCUGUCUUGCAGGUUGAAGGGAAGUUGUUUUAAAUUGCGUGACACAUACCUUUGCGGGCAAAAAGAACGGGAAAAAACAAACAAAACCAACAAACUCUGGCCAGUGGGGAUGUCUUUAGUUCUUUGCAAAGGACCAUUAACGUCUCUCUCUAAUUCCCUGAAGAUUGUUCUUGCUCUGCAGGUGCCCGUGAUGCUGCACUCACACCAGCACAGCCCUGCCACAGAGGUAAUGCAGUGCCCCAGAGACAGUGGCUUGCAGAGAGCCUCACCUCCGCUGCCUCUUCUCCAGGUGCCCAACACGGCACGGCUCUCGAGGGGCUUGGACAUUCACUUCUUCUGCGAUGUUUGUUUUUUUUUUUUUUAGUAGCAAUCUGGUUUGAGCUUCCUCAGCCCCGCAGCCAAGGCGUUGACAUGGGACACAAAUCAGUUGGCUUCAGGCUUUGGCUGUGCUGCUAACCGGCUGUGCAAAUUUCCGAGUGCCUCAUGCCUCAGUUUCCUCUUUUGUGAAAUAAAGGUGGAGGAGAGAAGCUCCCAAACGCCUCCCCUGAGCUGCACCAAGCUCUCCCUUCCCUACCCAGAGGGGUGCUCAGGGGCCAGCUGCACGCUCGGGUGUCUGCGCUGCUUUUUCGCAGAGAGCGCGUUCCCAUACUGAGGCAUCUCUUGCUCUCUCCUCCUCCCUUUCUGAACUGAGAGCAGACAGAAUUAGAGGAAAACUUGGCUUCUGAGCUUUUUUUUCCCCUGACCCCUUCACCUGGCUUGUUUUUCUUUUUUUUUUCCUCCUACGGUUUCAGCUGGCUGAAUUUCAGCACCAGCCUAUUGCAAGGAAGGGCACGUGCUAGCUUACAGAGGGAGAGAGACCCGAGGAAGGAUAAAUCUGGAGGCAAUGAGGUCAGGGGGAGGCAAGUCAGCUGCUCUGACACUUUUAUUAUGGAGCGAGGCUGCUUGGGAGUGAAUCUUGCUCGAAGCAUAUGUGGUAGGAUGACAUUUCCACCAGGACCCGGCAGUAACCUUCCCCAGCCCUAUGCUCGCCUGCUUCUGGGGCGAGGGGACUGAAUGUCAGCUGGAAAUGCCACAGGCAGCAGCAGGGCUGCUGGGGUGAGUCCCUGCCAUGCGCUGGCCUUGGCCACCAUUUCCCUUGCCUCCUGGGUCUGUUGGGCUCUGACUUGUGGCAGAGCUGUUGGUACAGCGUUGGGGCGUCUCAGAUGGGCCUGACUUUGCAGCCAGAAACCUUUGGUGACUUCAGCUUAUGAACAAGGGGGGUGUUUUGAAAGGGAGGUGUUGGCUUCUGUGUGCUUCUCGUUCUAGAAAUGAAGAGGUUGCAGCAGAGAUCACAAUGAAAUCCUCCUUGGAGUUGCCCAGAAGGAUCAGGAGCUUCAAGGCAAGCUUACCCCCGAGAAGGAAGAUCUGAUUGCUCAAUAAAAUGGUGAGAUGUUGCUGGCUGUGCUGUGCAGGGGCUGGAGGCCAGGAGAGGCUUUGAUACUUUGCAUUAUCACUGUCAGCUUCGAUUGCACGUGGAGGAGGCGAUGCUGUGGCUGGCGGUGGCUAACUGAACGUCACUGGGAGAGAUGACAUUUUUCCCCCAUGAGGGUGCUACAUCCUUGCCUUUCCCUUUGGCUCACAUCAAGAGCUGCUUGCUCCCAGCGCCAAGUGGGACGUACGUGCGUGAUGCCCGAGGGAUGGUGCAUGCAGCGGUGAGCACCGCUUCUCGCUGUGUCAGCAGGCAGCUCUGUGGUGCUGGUAACUCUCCAGCACUAGGGGCUGAUGGGUGGGUGACCAGAGGGCAGAUGCUUGUCCCUGUCUGAGACAAACCAGGGCCGUUGGGAGCUGCUGUUUGCCACCCUGGGGAGCAGUGUGCAGGAGGGUCCCUUGCCAUGCUGGCAGCCUCCGGCCAGCAGGAGGUCUGCCAGGGAUGUCCCCUCAGAGCCACAAGAACUCAGGCCUGAGCGAAGUCUCAGGGUCUGAGGGACAGACAAAUGUGUUUUAAUGGCUAAUGUUCCCCCCAGGCUUGCUCUUGCCUCCUCUAAACAGGAGCUAAUCUGGUAGAAGAGUGCCCGUGCCCACACUGCUCCAGCAGCCCCUUUGCCAGCCUGCUGUUCUCAAGGGCAAUUUCAGCAAAGCCCGAGUGCUGCUCUGGGUCCAGCUUUCAUCUUCCAGCUGGUUACGGAGGAAAGAAUGGAGGUGGUUGCUGCUGCCAGGCUGUGCUAGAAAACAGGCAGGGGACAGGCCUUUUUGUGCACUUCAAGAUCUAAGAGCUUAAUCUGAUUCUGCUUCUCUAUUAGCCCUGAUCCUGUCUUGCAUCUUUUCCAGCUGAUGCCUGAGCCUAUCUUUUUGUUUUCCUUUCUCCCCUUUUCCCUCACCUUAUGAAAAAUGGCUUUGCCAUCUGCAUCUGUCAGGAGUCCACAGAGCGGGGUGUACGGCUCAGUGAAUAUACAAAUGUGCGGUUGGAUUGUGGCCCCUUCCAGCAGACCAGAGCUGAAUACCAACGUGCAGGAGGGUGAGUGCGUUCCCUUCUUCUGCUGCUGGUGCCUCUGAUAGUUGUUUUUUUUUUUAAUCCUGAGGAGGUGUGAGCAUUGCCUUUGGGAGCAAUGCUUCCUUCUGCUCUUGUUCCACCUUGCCAAGGUUCAGCUCUCUGCCAUCCAUCAUCGGAUGAGUCCUCUCCUCACUCCUGCAUAUGAGCUGCUGGUGGGAUUGCUGGGGAAACUGUUUCACCCUGCUUUUCCUACCAACCUUUCCCCUCUCGUUUUGCAUCUCACCUCCCAGGCUCGUUAAAGGGCAGCAGGCAGGCUGGGGCUUGAGGACACUUGUCUUUGCUUGCUGAUGCCAAGUGGUUUUGGAUAGAAGCGAGGAUGAGGCAGAGGGAGGAGACUGUCCAACCCUACACACAUAGCUAAAAAUGUGAUUUUAGAAUGGAAGCUUUCAGCACAGGACUCCUAGGGUGCUUUCAACACCUCUUACAUGUGCUCCCACGUCUUGGCCUUGGUGUGUCCCCUGUCCCUGUGAGGAGGCUGUGCAGGGAGGGACGCACCCAGCUGGGAGAUGCUCAGGUGCCGUAACUCUGCAGGUCACCCAGGUGUCCACGGGGAGGUGACACCCUGCCUUGGCACUGCUGGGUGUGCUCGCCUCCAUCCUAACUCUUGGUUUCUUGCAGCCUGGUGUGAGCUGCUUCCAAAAAAUUCUUUAAGCCAGGUGGGCUCGGAGGAGCAGGCAGAAAAUGAAAUGAGUGCCUCCACACUCCUGCCACAGCUAUCUGGUCAAGGGGGGGGAAUUUUCUGGGAGGGCGGCCCCCUGCUUUGGCAGGAGGAGAGAGCUGGCAGCUUGAGCUGAGCUGGUUUUUUGACAAGCAGAUGGAUGUUCAGCAGGGGCCCAAGAAAACCUUCUAGCUCCAGGCUAGUUGCGAGCCCUCCAAACCAUAGCGUUGUGCUGACGCAAAGAAAGCAUCGCUCCGUCGGUUCUGGGUCUGAAUUACCUCUUCUGGGUGCCUGGCUCGGGGGGCAGCGCCCGUCCCCUCCUGCCACCCAUCACGGGAGGUGCCAGCUGCCUGCUUCUGGCUGGGCAGGGAUGCAGCAGGAACCACCAAGCUGCAAACCACCACGCGAGGAGGGAAGAAGGCGAGCGAUGGCAGGUUCCUCCAGCGUCUCCACGCCGUGGGGCUCUUGGCGAGCAGGCGCCAGCCUGCUUUGAAAGCUCUUCGUGCUCCUGCAGGUGGGAGCCAAUUUGUCUGCUUUCCUGCCCAGGUGCCAUCUGCUGUAGGAUCGCCUGUGUUACGGAUGAACGCAACGGGGAUGGCGAAGGGGAGGUGGGGGAGACGAGCCUCAAACUUUCCUGGGUAACUUCAGCGCUCCUUGCAGCUCCCUCUCCCCUGCAUCGCGGCGGGGAAAUCACAGCCUGUCAUUUGUCGUUCCUGGAGCGUGAUAGGGAGCUGAGGCGCUGCUAAUAGCAAGCUAUCAUUUUAAUGCUAAUUUCCCACCAUUAGAUCAGGCUGGGGGAGGCACAGCCUCCGAGGAGGGAAGUCAUUAGCAGAUGGAGGGGGGGGGGGGAAAUGUGUGGGGCUUGUUCUGCACCCCAAGAAGGGACUUCCAGGGGGGCAGAUGAUUAACAACCACUGGGGAAAUAGGGAGCAGAUGCUGGGGUCAGUCUCUGGUGGCUGUGGGAGGGAGGGAGAGGGAUGCUUUGUUCCAAGUCUCCUUCCCACAUGGCUUCCUUGAGUGCCUCAGGCUUUUGGGUUGAAUUUGGUGUUUGCUGUUUGUUGCCAGCCCCCAGCGCUUGGUGGCUGUGGGGGUGCUCAGAACAGUAGCAGGACUGUGCUGGUGGCUGGGUC